CGUGAGUGAAGAAGGGUUUCGGCUCGUAAAGCUCUGUUGGUAGUGAAGAAAGAUAGAGGUAGUAACUGGCCUUUAUUUGACGGUAAUUACUUAGAAAGUCACGGCUAACUACGUGCC
rnacentral:rRNA from 1 species